rnacentral:rRNA from 1 species
AACGGCCGCGGUAUAUUGACCGUGCAAAGGUAGCAUAAUCAUUAGUCUUUUAAAAGAGGGCUGGAAUGAAGGGUUUGACGAGGUGUUAACUGUCUCACUUUAUUUGAUAUUAAAAUUUAAUUUUUUAGUCAAAAAGCUAAAAUUUGAUUGGAAGACGAGAAGACCCUAUAGAGCUUUAUAUUAAAUUAUUUAUUAAUAUUUAUAUUAUUUAUUUUUAUUUAUAUUAAUAUUUUGUUGGGGUGACAAAAAUAUAUGAUGAACUUUUUUAUUUAAAUAACAUUGAUUUAUGAUUAUUAGAUCCAUUAUUAUUGAUUGGUAGAUCAAGUUACCUUAGGGAUAACAGCGUAAUCCUCCCCCAGAGUUCAUAUUUACGGGUAGGGCUUGCGACCUCGAUGUUGGAUUAAGAAUAUAGUUAGGUGUAGCCGCUUAAUAUAUAGGUCUGUUCGAC